CGAACGGGUGAGUAACACGUGAGCAAUCUGCCCUUGACUCUGGGAUAACUGCGGGAAACUGUAGCUAAUACCGGAUACGACCCUUGGAGGCAUCUCUGGGGGUGGAAAGAAUUUCGGUCAAGGAUGAGCUCGCGGCCUAUCAGCUAGUUGGUGAGGUAAUGGCUCACCAAGGCGACGACGGGUAGCCGGCCUGAGAGGGUGACCGGCCACACUGGAACUGAGACACGGUCCAG
rnacentral:rRNA from 1 species